ensembl:rRNA 5S_rRNA 5S ribosomal RNA
GUCUGUGGCCAUACCACCCUGAAUGUGAUCUUGUCUGAUCUCAGAAGCUAAACAGGGUUGGGCCUGGUUAGUACUUGGAUGGGAGACCACCUGGGAAUACCCGAUGAUGCAGACU